UAUGAAGAUAGAGGUGCGAACUUCAAGAGUAAGCCUUUCGAGAAUGGUGGAUUCUAAGAAAAAGGCAGAAAGGGAAGGAUCGCCGAAGUGAAUUCUGUCCAUCAACAGAAUUUGCUGGCUUUGCAUUUAAGAAAUGCAGGGCUGUCAGGAAAUGACUCCUGGAGGGCUAUCUCAUUG
rnacentral:ncRNA from 1 species